GAAUUCCUACGGGAGGCAGCAGUAAGGAAUCUUCCACAAUGGGCGAAAGCCUGAUGGAGCAACGCCGCGUGGGUGAAGAAGGUCUUCGGAUCGUAAAACCCUGUUGUUAGAGAAGAAAGUGCGUGGGAGUAACUGUUCACGUUUCGACGGUAUCUAACCAGAAAGCCACGGCUAACUACGUGCCAGCAGCCGCGGUAAUACGUAGGUGGCAAGCGUUAUCCGAAUUUAUUGGGCGUAAAGGGAACGCAGGCGGUCUUUUAAGUCUGAUGUGAAAGCCUUCGGCUUAACCGGAGUAGUGCAUUGGG
rnacentral:rRNA from 1 species